rnacentral:tRNA from 1 species
AGGGUUAUAGUUAAAGUAUAACAUUUGAUUUGCAUUCAAAAAUUAUUAAUUUAAUUAAUUUACCUUG